rnacentral:miRNA from 1 species
GCACCACGAGCUUUUUGGAA